UACGUAGGGGGCAAGCGUUGUCCGGAAUCAUUGGGCGUAAAGCGCGCGUAGGCGGCCCGAUAAGUCUGCUGUGAAAGUCCAGGGCUCAACCCUGGAAUGCCGGUGGAUACUGGCGGGCUAGAGUUCGGAAGAGGCAAGUGGAAUUCCUGGUGUAGCGGUGGAAUGCGCAGAUAUCAGGAGGAACACCUAUAGCGAAGGCAGCUUGCUGGGACGACACUGACGCUAAGGCGCGAAAGCGUGGGGAGCGAACAGG
rnacentral:rRNA from 1 species